CCUACGGGGGACAGCAGUGAGGAAUAUUGGUCAAUGGACGAGAGUCUGAACCAGCCAAGUAGCGUGAAGGAUGACUGCCCUAUGGGUUGUAAACUUCUUUUAUAUGGGAAUAAAAUGUUCCACGUGUGGGUUUUUGUAUGUACCUUAUGAAUAAGGAUCGGCUAACUCCGUGCCAGCAGCCGCGGUAAUACGGAGGAUCCGAGCGUUAUCCGGAUUUAUUGGGUUUAAAGGGAGCGUAGGUGGAUUGUUAAGUCAGUUGUGAAAGUUUGCGGCUCAACCGUAAAAUUGCAGUUGAAACUGGCAGUCUUGAGUACAGUUGAGGUAGGUGGAACUCGAGGUGUAGCGGUGAAAUGCGUAGAUAUAUGGAAGAACACCGAUGGCGAAGGCAGCCGACUGAACUGUUGCUGACACUGAGGCACGAAAGCGUGGGGAGCAAAUAGGAUUAGAUACCCGGGUAGUC
rnacentral:rRNA from 1 species